UUAGAAAGCGUGAGUCUUACCAGCUCGCGUUGAUUACGUCCCUGCCCUUUGUACACACCGCCUGUCGCUGCCGAUUGAAUGGCUUAGUGAGAUUUCCGGAAAUCGGCGUUGGGGAGCCGGCAACGGCACCCCUUGGCUGAGAAGUUACUCAAACUUGGUCAUUUAGAGGAAGUAAAAGUCAUAACAAGGUUUCCGUAGGUGAACCUGCGGAAGGAU
rnacentral:rRNA from 1 species